rnacentral:rRNA from 1 species
UACGUAGGGCGCAAGCGUUGUCUGGAAUUAUUGGGCGUAAAGAGCUCGUAGGCGGUCUGUUACGUCCGCUGUGAAAACCCAGGGCUUAACCCUGGGCUUGCAGUGGAUACGGGCAGACUAGAGGCAGGUAGGGGAGAAUGGAAUUCCCGGUGUAGCGGUGAAAUGCGCAGAUAUCGGGAGGAACACCGGUGGCGAAGGCGGUUCUCUGGGCCUGACCUGACGCUGAGGAGCGAAAGCGUGGGGAGCGAACAGG